CUGACCUACCUCACAGGAUUGUUGUGAAAUUAACAUGGAGAAGAGGUGGAUUAUGUAAAUUCCCUUGGGC